AUGCCGCCGGGCGCUGUGGCGGCGCGGCCCCCCGGCGGGGCGCGCUCUCUGAGCCCCGCGGCGCUGUCUCGCAGCCUGUCCCGCCUGCGCGAGCACCGCGCCCGCUCGCGGGCCAUGCUGGCGCUGGGGGUCACGCAGAUGCUGCUGGGCUGCCUCAUCGUGGCCGUCAGCUUCGCCGCUCUGGCGCUCACCACCUCGGCCCGCGUCCGCCACUCGUGUCCCUUCUGGGCCGGCUUCUCGGUGCUGCUGUCGGGAUUGAUUGGUGUUGUUUCAUGGAAGAGGCCCCUUUCACUUGUGAUAACCUUUUUCAUGCUGCUCUCUGCAGUGUGUGUAAUGCUGAAUUUAGCUGGUUCCAUUCUUUCUUGUCAGAAUGCUCAGCUAGUAAAGUCCCUGGAAGGAUGUCAGUUGAUUAAAUUUGACAGUGAUGGUGUCUGUGUUUGCUGUGAAAUGCAGCAUCAAACGUCAGGUUGCAGUAACCUUGGAGAAAUGCUGAAACUGAACCCUCUGCGGGAAUGUAAUGCUGUGAGGUUGACCCUAAAGGACCUGUUGUUCAGUGUGUGCGCUCUCAAUAUCAUCUCCACCAUUGUCUGUGCUUUGGCAACAGCAAUGUGUUGCAUGCAGAUGGUUUCUUCUGAUCUUCUGCAAAUGUUUCUGCCACAGCGGCCACAUUCUGCCAAUGCAGACUGCAUGACUCCACAUGGGACAGUUCUGCAUCAAACUUUGGAUUUUGAUGAGUUCAUCCCACCAAUACCACCUCCACCCUACUACCCACCGGAAUAUACCUGCACACCUGUGGUAGAGGCACAGAGAAAUCUCCAUUUGGAAUUUCCUCAUUCCCCAUUCAGUGCUUUAUAUGAAGUCACCAUUAACAGCCCAGGAAUGCUGUAUCCAACUGAGCUGCCACCUCCUUAUGAGGCAGUGAUUGGAGAAACACCUGCCAGUCAGGUCACUGGUACUGAUCAGCAAGUAUCUGAAUCAAGCUUGGGUGAGAGGAAUGUGACCCUGGGCUUCAGCACACAAGUUUCUGUUGAGAGCACCUCGUUGAUGACCUCUGAAACUGCUGAAAUCCCAGACCAUAGCUGCUCCUCUGAAGAUCUUUGUUCGCUGGAAGUUCAAGAAUCUCUCCGUUCUUCAGAUUUUUCUCCCUCCUGUACAAACUGCAAAGGGGCUACAGGGCGGAGCUGCAGCAGUCUGGACUACAGCACCCGCUGCAGGUUUCACAGAACUCGCUCAGAAGGUUUUCCUGAUGAGGAUGUCAGUUUGCACAGCAGAGUCUCUAUGGACAAGUCUCAAGGACAGGAAAAUGAAAACAGUGCCCACGGCAGGUCCUCAGACUGUUCCUCAGAAAAUUUCAACCCCUCAGAAAGAGAACUGCAGAGUACUGCUCAAGAAGGCAGUGUCUCAUUACAUUUGAAACAAAUGAAAAUCUGCUGUGGGGUCUUUAGCCAGCCUUCUGUCCCUUCCCACACCGCUUCCUGUUUUGGGCCUGCAAAUACUUCAUCAUAUGCAAGCAGUUCUGAGAGUACUGUUCAGCAGCAUCAUGUUACAAAACACCGCCUUUCAAAUAUUGUCCGAUCAACUAGUGAUCCUGUAUCGUGUUCGUCUUACAUAGAAGGUGAUCAUUGUACCUGGAGUCCUAUAUGUAGACAGCAUCAAGAUUCAGGAUCUUCAGCCACAUUAGAAACAGUUCCUGUUUCUGGUUCUCAUAUGGCUGCCUCUGCUUGUCAGCAUUCUUUGAGCAGUUUCCUACCAACUGGAAAACAGAGGGAUACAAGGAACACUGAUCUACACUUAAAGCCAAAGGCUUUGCAAACAGUCUCAAAAGAACGACCACACUCUUUAGUGGACCUUAAGGCCUAUAAAGAUACAAAAAUUUUAGUGGCAAAAUUUUUGGAACAUUCAAACUGUAAUCUCCCUCCAGAAGUACGUCACGUAGUGAACAGUAUACGAUCAGUAAUAAAAUCUGAUGAAAGACACAUGGAAGAAGCCAUCUUCAGUGCCAAUAUUAUAGACCAGGUAAUUACAAGUUCCCAGCUGAGUGUGAAUACCUCUAGAAAGCGACGUCAGGAAGACCUUCAUCUUCAGAGUUGUGGUGCUCUGAGCUCUCCAGUUGCCUUCUUACGCAGGUCCCACAUCACUCGCAGUUUAGAGCGGGACAGGCCUCACAGUUUAAUUGGAGUUUGCCAGGAGACCAUCCUUUGAUAAUAUUCACAGGCUGGAAAAGGGCAGUCUGCCCUCCUGAGCCACCGCUUUUCUCCAUGUUUUAUAGUGCUGCUGAAUAGAGAGAGUAUAGGACAAAGAAGGCAAAUCAGGCCACUGUUUCAGCUGGCGUUCACAGACAGAAGGAAUACAGCUCAAUGCAGCACGGUGAUCUUCAUUAAAAAACUGUCUUCUCUGCAACAUCUGUGCUAUGAUGGGGCCUUCCUGUCAGUCUAGAAAGAUGUGUAUUGGAUGGAAAUUCCUGCUCAAUUGUUUCAGAAGACCUAAGCUGAUGCAGCACGUAAGGCAGGUGACGUACAGUUUGAAUCUCUGAAAUUGAGCAGAGUUCACUAUGCUGAGAUGUACCUAUUGCUUACUGAGAAAAAUCUGUUCUUGGAGAAAAAGAAAUGAGUCCUACAGGAAUAGCACCCAGUGAUGGCUGCUUCUGCAGUUACUGUCAAUGGUUAUAAUCAUAUGCCAAAAAUGAUUUGUUGAGAUCUUACAGUUUGCUCUGAGCUAAAUGUAAGUAUGAUAAGACAUGGCUUAUGUCUCAGCAUGUUUAUAAUUUAAUUCAGAAACAAAUAUAGUACGUGGGAAGAUGGACAAGCUAGCAUAAAAUGAGGGUGAAACAUUGUGGUUGAACAGUAUCUUUUGUGUUUGACUACUGGUUUUCCUUGAAGUCCUCUUUGCAAAUAUCAGGGCUAAGAGAAAUGAAAACCUUACUCAAAUUCAGGGUGUCUGAUAUGAGGAGGAAAAAUAUAUAGAUCUUCAUUUAUUAUGAAGCAAACAAACAAAUAAAACCCACCUUUUUAACAUUAUGAAAAAGUUUAUCCUACAGCGAUAUUUAUUUUGCAGCAGCCGCUAUAUAAUGAGGGGCUGGGCUUUGCCUACAGUGGCUCUUAAAUUGCUUCUUAUGGACUCUAAUGAUUAGAGGCACCAUCAAGACCUUUCACAGAAUUGACAUCUUGAAUUUCAGUGUGGUGUUGUACAGGUUGCCUACCUUCUAAUCAUAGCCCUAACAAGAUAAGCUGUAUUGCACAGAUCUUCACCUGACUCCUAUACAAAGCUUCUCAUUUAACUUACUGUUGGAAUUUGUUCAGUGCUUUUGGGGAUUGUAUGAAGCCAUGUGACAGGACAAGAGCAGAAUGUGCCAAAGGAAACCCUAUACAUACGUUUUAUAAAAUAAAAUACAUAGACCAUACAACCAGCUGAAAUAAAAGCUUUCAGAGCAAAUGGAAAUGUUGCCUUUAACCCCACUGGCAUAAAGGAAAAGAUAAUGGCUUGUGUAUCUAUCUAGAGCAUUUUUUUUCUUCUGGGGCACUCAAAGUGCUUUUAGUACUAGUGAAUUUCUAACAGCCUCAGACAUAGGAAGUGGUCUCUUAUUCUCAUUCAAGAACAUGAUCCCUCUCCAGGGAGAGGAUUCAGCUUCCUUUUUGUAAGCAUUAGAUAUUUUAAUGAGGUAGAAAAAGGAACAGACGCAGAUCUCAAGUGGCUCUGACUAACUUCACAGAUCAUGCUGUGCUAGAGGCAGAGUGCAGAUGUAAGGAAAUGCAUUGCACUUCUAGCACAGAUUUAUGUGGCUCCUGUAUUUGUGAGUGACUGACUGAAAACAGCUUGAGACUUCAGUCUCCAGCCCACGUACGUGAGACAUAUUUGGCUGGCAAGUUUAAGGUGAGCAGUACCUUAAGUAAAUGAGAUUCUACUUGGCCAGGACUGUUUACCUUGCUAUCAUAGUUGUGAAAUAUGGCAACUAUUAUUAAAUGAAGCAUAACUGAUCCAGAUCUUGUAAGCAAGAGCCUGUGCUCUAUUUAUUCUGUAAACAGAAAAAAUAAAAAUCAGCCAUACUAGUUGAAUCUACUCAGCUGUUGUGUAUUCUGUAGUGUCUUAGGCAAGUUGCAGUGAAUCACAUGUGAAACUUCAAUCCCAUCAGUUUUAUUGUAACUGCCCAUUGUGUAUCAAAAUAUUGACUGUAGUACAGUACAAGACAAAUUAACUGUUUUCUCUGGGCAAAUACCUAAAUACAACCUAUUAAACCAGGUUUCUCAUCAUCUCCUACCUAUAGUUCACUAUUUAAGCCCUAUAUGUUUUUUUCUUUUAAAAGUUUACACAAGUAUAAACAAAGGCAAGAAAGCAAAAAUUAACUAUCAGUUUGGUUAACUUUCACCUAAUCUUACUGUAUUUUUAGAUAGAAUUCUGCUGGACUGGGGAUGGGUAGAUACAUUUCUCAGAGGAAGUGAAUGAGCAUCCCAGGGUUUGCUGAAAAGUGGUAGAUUAUUAGCAGUUGAACUACAACUGGUGGCUCUAUCAUUAAUGAAGGAAAGAAGAAAAUGAUGUGAUGUGAAAGGUCGAUUUGUUUUUACAUAUGAAUUUUACAAGAAAUGUGGCAUAAUAAUUUUCAAAAGAUGGCUGAUAGGUUGCUUUAAUUCACCUCCCCACACAACACACACAACAUUUCUGCCACUUGUUUCAUGUAUAUGCACAAUAUUUUAGUUUUUUUCCUAAUGUUUUAAAAUUCAAAUUUCAGUUUUCUUUUGUAAGUGUUUUGUAAUGAAGCUACUGCAGAAGCUUUCCAGAGCCAUGCAGAAUAUCUGCAAUUACCAGUGAAAGAACAAUUCUGCAAAUGUAACACUAGAUUUGUGCAGUUGUGCUGUUCCCUAACUAAAACUUCCAAAAGCUAGUUCCUCUACUGCUCCCUGAGGCACAAAUUCAGACUUUACAUGAAUUAAGAUAUAUGGAACACAAACUGAAGCAGUCACCUGCAGCAAUCCAGUCUCUGCAUCUUCCUGAUAUCCUAUAAAAACAAAUCCCAGAUCAAAUACUACUACUGUAUGUUCAGGUUGUUUCUGGGCUAUUCACAAAGGCAAUAGCUGUACAUUCUGCAUAGAUGAGAUAGGCAGGUUGAAAAGGAAUCACCACAAAACUGUUAUCAGAAGAGGAACAGAAGUACCAGAUGCAUGCAUAAUGAGGUAAUUGCACAGCAGUAGGAGAGAUCUAAUUAUACCUGAUCUGGCAAGCUAUUUGUUUCUUCACUGUGCUAAUGCUAAGCCAAACAAAAGAUCAGGAUGUUGUUUCCCAUCAUGUUUUAUAACAAUUGUUAGCUUUUAGAAGAAUGUUUUUUAAAAGUUAAGUGUUGAACUGCCAGGAAAAUAUAUUUUGCAAAGUCAUAUUUUCAAAUGUUACCUGAAGUAAGGGAAAUUUUUAUUUGAGCAAGAAAUUACAGCAGA